rnacentral:lncRNA from 1 species
AAUAAUUUGAAAGUGAAAACAGAACACAAUACGCUUCGGUUUCGCUACAAUAAACUCAUAGAUCUAUGUUGUCACGGAGAACAAACGAGGGGCGAGUUUUUCAAAAAAUGGUUUUUUGGAAGUCUAUCAUAAGUUGUACAUUUUUUAUCAUUAUUAGACUAUUAAUGUUAAUUGA